GACCGGCGGCGGACGCUGCUUGUACGCUUUUUACAUCAUCACAAAUUAUGAAAGGUCAAGGUGUGCCGUGUAAUCGUGUGAAAGUGUUGCUGGAACGCGUCUCAAGACAGGACUAUUUAAGACAGAACCUAACACUUAUAAAUUAAAGGGAUGAAACUAAAAAAAGCAUUAGACAAUUUAAAAUAAAGAUCUCACAUCCACAUUUUGACUGUUUUGACAAGUUUGAUCAUCAUCAGUUAAUUUCAGCUGCCUAAGAGCUCCAACUGUUUUAACUUUUCAUGACUCCGAACAGAUCUUGGACUCAUCCAUGUUGUCUCAAUACUCUCAUUUAAUUUUUAGUUUCGUAUUUAAUUGUGGAAAGAUUCCCAGAUUAGUUUUUUUAAUGAGCGCAGCAUGUGUGGAUUUUUCCUGCCAGCCAACUUGUAAAAUUGUGUUUGAACGCAGCAGGUAAUAUUCAGUAUCACGUGUAGAUCUUGCAACCAGCACACAACCUGUGUAAGUGAUCCUCAUGCAUAUAAUGAAACUGCUUCAUUAUGUUUUCUGCUCCCCGGUAUGUUCUUCUCUGCCCUUUAAUUUAUACUGUUUAUAUCUGUUUAAUGACAUGUGUGACGACCCUGCUGGUUCCUGGUCCCCUGUGUCGUCUUUCUUUUGUUUCAGGUGCCAGAGGGCGUGGUCUGUGGGAUCGGGGACUGAUUGACAGUGGAUUUCUCAAAAAGCUACUAUCCCGGAGUGGGACGUCCCAUAAUCCCCCCUGAAGAUUGAUCAGACAGCGACACCUAUUGGCAUUGUGAUGGGACUGCAGCAGGAUCCAGGAUCGCAGCAGGUUUUCUCUGCUGCAAAAGUAUUUCUCAACUCUUCCGGUUUUGAAGAAUGACAUAAGCCAAACCAGACCAAACUGGCUCUGUAUCUCAUGUCGCUCUCUGUCUUUCUCUCACUCCCUCUCUCUACCCUAUCCCUCUCCCUGCUGACCUUCUGAAUCCGUGCCCGUCCUCCUCUUCACCGCUAUGGCCGCCACCACAGCAGGAAAGAGACGGGCGUACUCCAGCAGGGAGUCCUUGUGGCAGGUGAGGGAGCUGCUGCCGUCUCCCCCCCUCACGCUCCUUCUCGUGGCCAGCCAGCAGGUUGGCCACGAGAAGGAGCCGACGUCGUUGGCCAGCAGCCACUGGAAGGUCUGGCCCCGGUACUGACUAAACAGCAUCUCAUCCUGCUGAGGACGAGCCGCUGGUCAGACGGGUCCCCUCCCAGCGCUGUGACCUGGGCCCGAGCGUCGGCCUCUGCCCUCUGGCCAGUUAUGUGUCAGGCGACCAGAUACCCGGCAGCUUAUCCUUUGCGGUCAAUAACUACCAGGUCUGUUGUGAAGGCUCUUUUCCAGUUUGUUUCUGUGUUCGGCAUUCCAAAGGUUUUUCAGAGGGUUCAAGGCUCCAACUUUUCCUCUCACAUGUUUGCACAGAUUUUAAAGCAGCUUCAGGUUAGGCGCCCGCAGUCCUCAGCUUAUCGUGCACAGAGUCAGGGGGUGCUGGAGCGCUUUCAUCAGAUGCUUAAAUUGUUGCUGAGGGCUUUCUGCUGAUGGGGAGUGAGUGGGAAGAGGGCUUGCCUUGGCUGAUGCUGGCAGCCCAGGAGGUUACUCAGGAAAGCACUGGGUUUAGCCCAAACGAGGGAAAACGAGGAGAUGUGGAGAAGGAGACGGGGAGACGCGGGGAAGGAGACGGGGAGACGCGGGGAAGGAGACAUGGAGAAGGAGACGGGGAGACAUGGAGAAGGAGACGGGGAGACGUUAAGAAGGAGACAUGGAGAAGGAGACGGGGAAAUGUGAAGGAGACAUGGAGAAGGAGACGGAAGGAGAUGUGGAGAAGGAGACAGGGAGACAUGGAGAAGGAGACGUGGAGAAGGAGACGUGGAGACAGGGAGACGUGGAGAAGGAGACAGGGAGAUGUGGAGAAGGAGACGGGGAGACAUGGAGAAGGAGAUAUGGAGAAGGAAACAUGGCGACAUGGAGAAGGAGACGGGGAGAUGUGGAGAAGGAGACGUGAAGGAGACGGGGAGACAUGGAGAAGGAGACGUGGAGAAGGAG